rnacentral:rRNA from 1 species
CCUACGGGCGGCACCAGUGGGGAAUAUUGCACAAUGGGCGCAAGCCUGAUGCAGCCAUGCCGCGUGUAUGAAGAAGGCCUUCGGGUUGUAAAGUACUUUCAGCGGGGAGGAAGGCGAUAAGGUUAAUAACCUUGUCGAUUGACGUUACCGACAGAAGAAGCACCGGCUAACUCCGUGCCAGCAGCCGCGGUAAUACGGAGGGUGCAAGCGUUAAUCGGAAUUACUGGGCGUAAAGCGCACGCAGGCGGUUGAUUAAGUUAGAUGUGAAAUCCCCGGGCUUAACCUGGGAAUGGCAUCUAAGACUGGUCAGCUAGAGUCUUGUAGAGGGGGGUAGAAUUCCAUGUGUAGCGGUGAAAUGCGUAGAGAUGUGGAGGAAUACCGGUGGCGAAGGCGGCCCCCUGGACAAAGACUGACGCUCAGGUGCGAAAGCGUGGGGAGCAAACAGGAUUAGAUACCCUUGUAGUC